GGAAAAGGAUGUUGUUAGCCACUCUUCUGAAAAUGGGGGAAAUAUAAGGCAGAGAGAAGUUCUGUAAUCUGCUGCACAGCACCACAAAUAGAGAUAUAGUACUUCCACCUCUCUGUGGAAUGCUUCAGUUCUUUGAAAAGUGCAAAGCUACACAGGAGGAGAAGAGGCAAAGUGUCGCAAGCUGGACAACCAAGAUCUGAGGCAUCCAGAAGGAGCCAUCGUUUUUUAGAAUUUGAUGAAAGUUCUUCAGAGUGAAAGCUUGGGAUUUCCUACCUGAGGAUGUUUGCAUCGGAAAGAUCUAGGAAAACAAAAGGAGGAGCACUCCCACCAAAUUCCUCCAGGAUAAGUAGUGUUCUCAGACAAAAGGCCUUGCUUUAUAUUCCAGCAGCCUCAAGACUCCAUUUUAUUGCCUUCUCACCCCCACAGCUUAAGGGCCUAUUACUGCCUUGCAAAUACUGCUAAAAACCCUGCAUUCCCAAUGAAACUAAAAGUUAAGGACAUUCAUCUUCCAGGAAACUCCCAAGACUUCAUAGUUUGAGUCUAAAUUACAUAAAGGACUUCUCUGAUGUUUAAACUUCUGGAGGACGCUAUCUGCAGUCUUGGAUUUAUUUUUGUGUGUAAAAACAGUCAACUACAGUAGAAGUUCAAAGAGUACUUAUGCCCCAUUCUCACAUUGUUUAGUUCUCUUUGACUGGCACAAAACAGACUUUGCUGUUGCUGUAACAAGCACCUUUUAAUAAUAAAAAUACUUGCAGUGUAAGUAUAAGACACAGCAGAGACCCAAUACACUUUACAAUCUAUUCUUGAAAGUGUUUGGGAAAGAGAAGCUGGGCACAAAACUAGCCAGAGGAAAUUUACCAAAACACUGAGAUCUUAAAACAUCAACACUGCAGAUCCUUCCUCCCAGCCCCAACCCUACUCCGUGAUCUCUUUCUCUGCCCCCCAACCGGUGAUCUCUUUCUCUGCCCCCAACCGAGAGUCUCUCUGGAUUCCUUGUUCCUAUACAAGGGGAUCUUGAUUUUUUUUUCCCCCCAAAGACUUCUUGCUGUCACAUCUCCUCACACUGCCAGACCCUUAUGGGAGGCAUCCUGCCUUAAUCUGAUCCUGCUCACAGACCUUUCUCUACCUCCAGCUUUCAUAUUGUACUCAUACGCCAUUUUUUGUUGCUAUAUCCUACCCAUUGUAUUACACGAUAUACAGCAGAGGAGGUCUCACCACCCAAGCAAGCUCUACCUGUUUUAUGAAAGGAGGUGGAAUUGUAACUGGAGGCGGAGGAGGAAGAAAUGAGGCAUUUAGAACAGGGCUUUAACAGCGCAACAUUGUCUCAGUACAAGAUGAAUGCAACAGCCCCUGGCUUCCAUGGCUAUUAGUCACAUCCUGCAAGGGUACACAGGGCUUUUGAGCUGCAAAAUGGUCUCAGGCCAAAGUGAGCAUUUUUCUCUUGCCAAUAGUCAGAGCCCUCCCAUGGGAAGAGUUGGACACGCCCCAGCUCUUCAGGCUGCAGUAGACAAAAGAAGGAAACAAACCCAAGGGCAUUUGGGUAUUUUGGUCCUUGUUUUCUGUAAGUGUUUGGUGUACAAGGAGAACACUGUCCCCUCCCAUGGGACAUGCUUUCCUAGGAACAGUCCUAGGCCUCUGUAAGAAGCCCUGUCUGCACAGCAGGUGAGCUCUGUUGAUGCAUAAUGUCAUACAGAGCCCUAUUGAAAUGACACUUGCUUUUUGUCUGAGGGCUUUAGAACUUGUCUCACAGGCAAGGUUUGCUGCUGCUAUGUUUCAGGUGCAUAAAACUACCUUUAAAAUAAGAAUAGUUUGAAUUUCACCUAUUUAUUUAAGAUGUGCUCAAUUUUUCUUAGCAAAGGAUUCCAAGCUACAGCACUGGACUGUAGAUGCACACAGCACCGCAGAAAUGCAGGCACCUCUAGGGUAGAAGGGAGGCAGCCCACAGGCACAGAGCACAUUCUGAGAAUGAAAGGGAAGAGAUUCUGGCCAGAGGUGCUGGGUAAAAAACUCUGUGCAAAUAAGUGCCAUGCGAUAAUGGCACUUCUGUUUCCUUUGCUAUGUGGCCUUGGGGAAUGACUGUUGAGGGAGCCAGCCAGAAGCUCUGGUCAGAGAAAGCAGCCUCUGCUCUGAGUAGAUGGGAAAAAGGUGUCAGUAAGAGCCAGCCCUUUGCUAAUAAAGCCAACCAAAAAAGGCACAGAGGAGACGGCCUUCACUAUGAGGGCACUAUACAAGUUGCCCCCCCAUGGGUAAGGACAGAAGUUACACAUAAACCAGUUUAAGCGAUCAGAAACUGGUUUAAACCUGUAACAGAACAUAAGUUCAAUGCAUAUAAACCAAAAA